rnacentral:rRNA from 1 species
AGGAUGAACGCUGGCGGUAUGCCUAACACAUGCAAGUCGAACGGUCACUUAGGUGAUAGUGGCGGACGGGUGAGUAACGCGUGAGAAUCUGCCCUCAGGAUGGGGACAACAGUUGGAAACGACUGCUAAUACCCGAUGUGCCGCAAGGUGAAAGAUUUAUCGCCUGAGGAGGAGCUCGCGUCUGAUUAGCUAGUUGGUAAGGUAAAGGCUUACCAAGGCAUCGAUCAGUAGCUGGUCUGAGAGGAUGAGCAGCCACACUGGGACUGAGACACGGCCCAGACUCCUACGGGAGGCAGCAGUGGGGAAUUUUCCGCAAUGGGCGAAAGCCUGACGGAGCAAUACCGCGUGAGGGAGGAAGGCUCUUGGGUUGUAAACCUCUUUUCUCUGGGAAGAAAAAAAUGACGGUACCAGAGGAAUAAGCAUCGGCUAACUCCGUGCCAGCAGCCGCGGUAAUACGGAGGAUGCAAGCGUUAUCCGGAAUCAUUGGGCGUAAAGCGUCCGUAGGUGGUUUUUCAAGUCUGCUGUCAAAGCCUGGGGCUUAACCCCAGAUAGGCAGUGGAAACUGGGAGACUAGAGUUCGGUAGGGGUAGCGGGAAUUCCCAGUGUAGCGGUGAAAUGCGUAGAUAUUGGGAAGAACAUCGGUGGCGAAGGCGCGCUACUGGGCCGAAACUGACACUCACAGGACGAAAGCUAGGGGAGCGAAAGGGAUUAGAUACCCCUGUAGUCCUAGCUGUAAACGAUGGAAACUAGGUGUGGCUUGUAUCGACCCGAGCCGUGCCGAAGCUAACGCGUUAAGUUUCCCGCCUGGGGAGUACGCACGCAAGUGUGAAACUCAAAGGAAUUGACGGGGGCCCGCACAAGCGGUGGAGUAUGUGGUUUAAUUCGAUGCAACGCGAAGAACCUUACCAGGGCUUGACAUGUCGCGAAUCUCUUAGAAAUAGGAGAGUGCCUUCGGGAACGCGAACACAGGUGGUGCAUGGCUGUCGUCAGCUCGUGUCGUGAGAUGUUGGGUUAAGUCCCGCAACGAGCGCAACCCUCGUUUUUAGUUGCCAUCAUUAAGUUGGGCACUCUAGAGAGACUGCCGGUGACAAACCGGAGGAAGGUGAGGAUGACGUCAAGUCAGCAUGCCCCUUACGCCCUGGGCUACACACGUACUACAAUGGUUGGGACAACGGGUAGCGACCCCGCGAGGGCAAGCGAAUCUCAUCAAACCCAGCCUCAGUUCAGAUUGCAGGCUGCAACUCGCCUGCAUGAAGGAGGAAUCGCUAGUAAUCGCAGGUCAGCAUACUGCGGUGAAUUCGUUCCCGGGCCUUGUACACACCGCCCGUCACACCAUGGAAGCUGGCCACACCCGAAGUCGUUACCCUAACCCUUGUGGAGGGGGACGCCGAAGGUGGGGCUAGUGACUGGGGUGAAGUCGUAACAAGGUAGCCGUACCGGAAGGU